rnacentral:rRNA from 1 species
UCUCUAUGCGGUGUCAGCAGCCGCGGUAAUACGUAGGGUGCAAGCGUUAAUCGGAAUUACUGGGCGUAAAGCGUGCGCAGGCGGUAAUGUAAGACAGUUGUGAAAUCCCCGGGCUCAACCUGGGAACUGCAUCUGUGACUGCAUUGCUGGAGUACGGGUAGAGGGGGAUGGAAUUCCGCGUGUAGCAGUGAAAUGCGUAGAUAUGCGGAGGAACACCGAUGGGCGAAGGCAAUCCCCUGGACCUGUACUGACGCUCGAUGCACGAAAGCGUGGGGAGCAAAACAGGAUUAGAUACCCUGGUAGUCCACGCCCUAAACGAUGUCAACUGGUUGUUGGGUCUUCACUGACUCAGUAACGAG